rnacentral:rRNA from 1 species
CCUACGGGGGGCAGCAGUGAGGAAUAUUGGUCAAUGGACGAGAGUCUGAACCAGCCAAGUAGCGUGAAGGAUGACUGCCCUAUGGGUUGUAAACUUCUUUUAUAUGGGAAUAAAACGUUCCACGUGUGGGAUUUUGUAUGUACCAUAUGAAUAAGGAUCGGCUAACUCCGUGCCAGCAGCCGCGGUAAUACGGAGGAUCCGAGCGUUAUCCGGAUUUAUUGGGUUUAAAGGGAGCGUAGGUGGAUUGUUAAGUCAGUUGUGAAAGUUUGCGACUCAACCGUAAAAUUGCAGUUGAAACUGGCAGUCUUGAGUACAGUAGAGGUGGGCGGAAUUCGUGGUGUAGCGGUGAAAUGCUUAGAUAUCACGAAGAACUCCGAUUGCGAAGGCAGUUCACUGGACUGCAACUGACACUGAGGCUCGAAAGUGUGGGUAUCAAACAGGAUUAGAUACCCCAGUAGUC